ACUCCUACGGGAGGCAGCAGUGGGGAAUAUUGCACAAUGGGGGAAACCCUGAUGCAGCCAUGCCGCGUGUGUGAAGAAGGCCUUGGGUUGUAAAGCACUUUCAGUAGGGAGGAAGGUAGUGUAGUUAACACCUGCAUUAUUUGACGUUACCUACAGAAGAAGCACCGGCUAACUCCGUGCCAGCAGCCGUGGUAAUACGGAGGGUGCGAGCGUUAAUCGGAAUUACUGGGCGUAAAGCGCAUGCAGGCGGCCUGUUAAGUCAGAUGUGAAAGCCCGGGGUCUUAACCUCGGAAUUGCAUUUGAAACUGGCAGGCUAGAGUCUGUAGAGGGGUAGAAUUUCAGGUGUAGCGGUGAAAUGCGUAGAGAUCUGAAGGAAUACCAGUGGCGAAGGCGGCCCCUAGGACAAAGACUGACGCUCAGAUGCGAAAGCGUGGGAGCAAACAGGAUUAGACUACCCGUGGUAGGAUAGCG
rnacentral:rRNA from 1 species